rnacentral:rRNA from 1 species
AUUGAACGCUGGCGGCAUGCCUAACACAUGCAAGUCGAACGGCAGCGCGGGUAGCUUGCUACCUGGCGGCGAGUGGCGGACGGGUGAGUAAUGCUUAGGAAUCUACCCAGUAGCGGGGGAUAGCCCGGGGAAACCCGGAUUAAUACCGCAUACGCUCCCCUGGUAACAGGGGAGGAAAGCGGGGGACUCUUCGGAGCCUCGCACUAUCGGAUGAGCCUAAGUCGGAUUAGCUUGUUGGUGGGGUAAAGGCCUACCAAGGCGACGGUCCGUAGCUGGUCUGAGAGGACGAUCAGCCAUACCGGAACUGAGACACGGUCCGGACUCCUACGGGAGGCAGCAGUGGGGAAUAUUGGACAAUGGGGCGAAGCCUGAUCCAGCAAUGCCGCGUGUGUGAAGAAGGCCUGCGGGUUGUAAAGCACUUUUCAGUAGAGAAGAAAAGCGCAGUGUUAAUACCACUGUGUCUUGACGUAACCUACAGAAGAAGCACCGGCUAACUCCGUGCCAGCAGCCGCGGUAAUACGGAGGGUGCAAGCGUUAAUCGGAAUUACUGGGCGUAAGCGCGCGUAGGCGGUUUAGUAAGUCGGUUGUGAAAGCCCUGGGCUCAACCUGGGAAUUGCAGUCGAUACUGCCUGACUAGAGUAUGGUAGAGGGAAGUGGAAUUUCCGGUGUAGCGGUGAAAUGCGUAGAUAUCGGAAGGAACACCAGUGGCGAAGGCGACUUCCUGGGGCCAAUACUGACGCUGAGGUGCGAAAGCGU